rnacentral:lncRNA from 1 species
CUUCCAUUUUCUAUAAAUUUUUCUCCUUUUUUUUUUCUUUUUUUUCAGAAUUUUCUUCCAUAUAUACAAAAUUCUUAUUUACACAGAAUUUAAAACUUCAACGUCUAUGUGACGUAAAUAAAAACGAGUAAAGGUUGAUUCCUUUGUCCAGUCUGCUGUGUCCAUAAUAGACUUCACAGAUGCGCCGUUAAAAAGUGCCCAAGAUGGGCCCAAGGCUCUUGUAGAAUGAGCACGAAAUUUUUUGUCUUUUUCAUUGUAAGCACAUUUAAUUGCAUUAACAAUCCAAGACGAAAUAGUCUGUGAUGUAACCGGUUUAUGCGGUUCAAUAAAAGAUAAAAACAACUUGUUCUCAAACUCACUGUCAGAGUUUCUAAAAGGUGCAGUUUUCUUCAAAUAAUAAUAAAUAGACCGCUUCGGAUCUAAUAAUUUAUCUGAUUGAUAAGACGGAAUAAAAAUCUUGCUGCCAAAAUGUUUUG